UGUCUGGUUAGGUAGAAAAAAACAAAAAUUAUGUAUUGACUAAUUAUGUUUUAUUUUUAUCCAGCUCAAGGUUAGAAGCCAGAGGAGAGGUACGUGAAACUAUUUAGAACACACGAGGACGUGAACUUGAAAGAAUUGCGCGCUAUUCAAGUGAAAGUGCCUCUGGCACGUGCAUCACCUACCGGGAACGUGUUUCUAACCGUCAAACAAACUAGUCACCAAGGACUCUUCGUUGGUGAGAUUCACGAACGUGGUUGGGACGAAGGGAUUGCAACGACCGACAGUUGUGACGCCAAAGAGAAGUCUGAUCUCCGUUGCAGUAUUGCCUACGCUUAUUUAGUAACGGCCGUUAUUACCGAGAUGGCCUCGCCUUGACUUUUCUUUUGGGCGGAACCAGAACAACAAGCAAAAUAUUUCCGACUUCCUAAUUUACGACUCUCUCUUUUCUUCCUUGGCCAUCAUGGUCGGUUUCUUCAUACCUAGGCCAUACGCAGGUAGUGUGACUUAUAUAAAACACCCAAAAAUAUCAAGGCUCGUCUUCACGAAUGGCAAGGACUACGUGCUGGGAAGCUGGUGGAACGACUCCAAACGAUAAGUACGUGGCGUUUCAAUAGCAAUGUCAGGGCCAUCCUCUGAUGGACGAUUAGAAUUGGCUUCCCAAUUGAGAAACUUGCUACGAAAUCGUGACCAUAUCAGACUCACGUCGCUCCUUGUCCAACUUUGGGAUCUGAGAUACCCGACUAUGUGACAGCUCGCACGUCACUGUCUUUUAAGCUAGUGCCAAAACAAAUUCAUUUUCUGGCGCUAAAAACUUCUAGAAUGCAGCAUAAUGAUAUGAACGUUUUCAUUUUUAGCAGUCGAAAACAAGUUUCAGAUUAUUGCAAUACUAUGAGGAAGGACGUUUGUUUUGUAACUUUGCGCCAAGUCGCGUGACGAACGAAAAAGGAAGGCUGUUAAAUCGUACCACAUAGUUAUUUAAUAACCGCCUGUCAAUUUACGAUCUCUUCGUGCUGAUACUUUCAACUGUGCCUAGUUCAGGAUUGAGGGAAUAUUGAUUAAAAACGAUCAAAUGUGUGGUACAACAAUGGACACGUUGGAAGAUAUAGGGCAUCACGAAGUUGCUUGUUUAGAUGUCCAUCCUAAGUCUACAUUCACGAACUGGAAGAUUAUCAUAUUUCCAGCUGCUACUACAACACUAUCUCUUUUAUGUUGACCCGAUUGUCCAUCAAUGUUUGGUACUUCAUUCGUGGGCACAACACUCGGCAUUUCGCCUACUUUACUCAACAAAUUCAAAGGUAUUAAAACGGAACAAAAACAUGGACAGCUGAUUGAAUAACUUCAAACGUGGAAUGAGAAAUCGCAUUGCGCAUUUUAUUUGGUAAAACAUUUUUCACAGAACAAUUUUAAUCUAGCGUCCAACUCACUUCAC